rnacentral:rRNA from 1 species
CUUUUAUGGAGAGUUUGAUCCUGGCUCAGGACGAACGCUGGCGGCGUGCCUAAUACAUGCAAGUCGAGCGAACUUGUGGGAGCUUGCUCCCAAAAGUU